GACGAACGCUGGCGGCGUGCUUAACACAUGCAAGUCGAACGGUGAAGCCCUUCGGGGUGGAUCAGUGGCGAACGGGUGAGUAACACGUGAGCAACCUGCCCCUGGCUCUGGGACAACCACUGGAAACGGUGGUUAAUACCGGAUACGACCCGCCUCGGCAUCGAGUGUGGGUGGAAAGUUUUUCGGCUGGGGAUGGGCUCGCGGCCUAUCAGCUUGUUGGUGAGGUGAAGGCUCACCAAGGCGACGACGGGUAGCCGGCCUGAGAGGGCGACCGGCCACACUGGGACUGAGACACGGCCCAGACUCCUACGGGAGGCAGCAGUGGGGAAUAUUGCACAAUGGGCGAAAGCCUGAUGCAGCGACGCCGCGUGAGGGAUGACGGCCUUCGGGUUGUAAACCUCUUUCAGCUCCGAAGAAGCGAAAGUGGCGGUAGGAGCAGAAGAAGCACCGGCUAACUACGUG
rnacentral:rRNA from 1 species